AGUAGCAGGUUUCCUUAAACGGUCAAAUAGGAUCUUGUAUGCGUCUCAGCCCUAUAAAUUCCCUUCCCCAAAUCAUUUCUUCUUCCCCUCUCCGAAUAAAUCCACGCACUCUCACAGAAGAGAAGGUGUAAAACAGAGAUCCCUAAGACCUAAUCUAACGAGAGAGGCACAGAAUCCGUUCUCGUCGCCGGAGACCGGAGACCAGAUCUAACACCACAGAGACUUGCUCGUUGCUUGUCGUCGCCGUUUCCAAGCCUCGCCUCCUCUCCCGUCGACGAAGGGCUAAGGUUUUGGAUUCGAGAAUCAGACUCGCUUUGGAGAGUGAUAUAGGGUGUUCAGAGUUUUUGGAUCAGAAUAUGAACUUUUCAGUCCAAAGUAACCGGUCAGAUAAUAGCCGUAGGGGUAGAAACUAUCCUGGUCAAACUGCUAGACAGGAGUGGGUUCCCCGUGGUUCCUCCUCCACCACCGCCCCUACUGCCACUGUGACAACCACUGUGGAGAGCCCUGCUGUAGCUGUUGAUAAUUUGAGCUCAGUUGGGAAUGGCAGAGAAUUGGAUGAUAGAUCAGUUCCACAAGUCUAUCGGAGUAGGAACUAUACAGGUCCUCGAAGGAAUGUGGUUCGAUAUGCAAAUCAAAGGAGAGAUAGGGGAACGGGAAGGGAUAAGGAUAGUGGCGAAAGGAACAAGGCAGAGAAGGUGAAGGAGCCAGAUCAUAACAAUGAAAGUAAACAGUUAAAUGACCCUAACUUGCCUCAGCUUGUACAAGAAAUUCAGGAGAAGCUCUUGAAAGGAACAGUUGAGUGCAUGAUUUGUUAUGAUAUGGUUCGCAGGUCUGCAUCAAUUUGGUCUUGUUCUAGCUGUUACUCAAUCUUUCACUUGAAUUGUAUCAAGAAAUGGGCCAGGGCUCCUACAUCGGUUGACUUAUCAGCUGAGAAGAAUCAAGGGUUUAAUUGGCGGUGCCCUGGUUGUCAAUAUGUGCAACUCACCUCUUCUAAGGAUAUCCGCUAUAUUUGCUUUUGUCGGAAAAGGCAGGACCCGCCCUCUGAUUUGUAUUUAACACCACAUUCUUGUGGGGAGCCUUGUGGGAAGCCACUGGAGAAGGAAGUUCCUGGUUCUGGCAUGAGCAAAGAAGAUCUUUGCCCUCAUCAUUGUGUCCUGCAGUGCCAUCCUGGACCAUGUCCUCCUUGUAAAGCAUUUGCUCCCCCACGAAGCUGUCCGUGUGGAAAGAAGGUGAUUACCACAAGAUGCUCUGAUAGGAAGUCUGUUCUUACCUGUGGACAACGUUGUGACAAGCUUCUUGCUUGUGGUCGCCACCAGUGUGAACGAAUUUGCCAUGUUGGUCCUUGUGACCAUUGUCAAGUUCUUGUUAAUGCUUCUUGUUUCUGCAAAAAGAAGACUGAGGUUGUUCUUUGCGGUGACAUGGCUGUGAAGGGGGAAAUCAAAGUAGAAAAUGGUGUCUUUUCUUGCAGUUCACGUUGUGAGAAAAAACUUAGCUGUGGAAACCAUGUUUGUCAUGAAAUAUGCCACCCAGGCCCAUGUGGGGAUUGUGCCUUAUCGCCCAUCAAGGUCAAGACAUGCUGGUGUGGAAAAACUAGCUUAACAGAAGCUCGAAACAGUUGUUUGGAUCCAAUUCCAACAUGUUCAGAAGUUUGUACUAAAACACUUCGUUGUGGGGUACACAGGUGUGAAAAGGUGUGCCAUUCUGGUGAUUGUGCACCAUGUCAUGUGCCUGUAACUCAACGAUGUCGAUGUGGAUCAACUUCUCGUACUGUGGAGUGUUACAGAACAUUUGCAGAGGAUGAUAUAUUUACUUGUGAUAGGCCUUGUGGGCGGAAGAAGAGUUGUGGAAGACACCGAUGCAGUGAACGCUGCUGCCCUCUUUCAAAUCCUAACCAUUCCCUCACUGGUGAUUGGGAUCCACAUUUCUGCUCAAUGCCUUGUGGGAAGAAACUAAGAUGUGGACAGCAUUCUUGCGAGUCACUUUGUCACAGUGGUCAUUGUCCUCCUUGUCUUGAAACAAUUUUCAAUGAUUUGACUUGUGCUUGUGGCAGGACUUCGAUACCUCCUCCAUUGCCAUGUGGGACACCUUCUCCUUCAUGCCAGUACCCAUGCUCAAUUCCUCAGCCAUGUGGUCAUUCAUCCACUCACAGUUGCCACUUUGGGGACUGUCCGCCAUGUGCGGUUCCCAUAGCGAAGGAAUGCAUUGGUGGACAUGUGGUUCUUAGGAAUAUACCUUGUGGAUCGAAGGACAUCAGAUGCAACAAACUCUGUGGCAAGACCAGGCAGUGUGGCUUGCAUGCAUGUGCUAGAACAUGUCAUCCUGCACCUUGUGAUUCUUCUGCAGGGGCCAAUGCUGGUUCAAGAGCUUCUUGUGGUCAGACAUGUGGUGCUCCUCGGAGAGAUUGUAGACACACAUGUACUGCUCUGUGUCACCCAUCCACCCCAUGUCCCGACACUAGAUGUGAGUUCCCUGUCUCUAUUUCUUGUUCUUGUGGUCGGAUAACUGCUAGUGUUCCAUGUGAUGCGGGCGGCAGUAAUGGUGGACAUAGUGCUGACAGUAUUUUUGAAGCAUCAAUAUUACAAAAGUUGACAUCGCCACUUCAACCUGUUGAGGCAAAUGGCAAGAAAGUUCCACUUGGUCAGAGGAAGCUAAGUUGUGAUGAUGAAUGUGCAAAGAUGGAGAAGAAGAAGGUUCUAGCUGAUGCUUUUGGUAUCAAUUCCUCAAAUUCAGAUGCACUUCAUUUUGGCGAGAAUACUGCUGUUUCAGAGGUGCUUUCAGACCUUCUCAGGCGUGAUUCUAAAUGGGUGUUUUCUGUGGAAGAAAGAUGCAAGUUUUUGGUCCUUGGCAGGGGCAGAGGUGGAGUUAAUGCCCUAAAAGUUCAUGUCUUUUGCCCAAUGCUGAAGGAAAAGCGGGAUGCUGUUACACUGAUAGCUGAAAGGUGGAAGCUCACAGUCAGUGCUGCUGGGUGGGAGCCGAAGCGGUUUGUUGUUGUACAUGCUACGCCAAAGUCCAAAGCACCUGCUCGUAUACUUGGUGCUAAGGGUUGCACAGCCAGUAGUAUGUUACAGCCUGCAAUUUUCGACCCUUUGGUAGACAUGGAUCCUAGGCUUGUUGUUGCACUUUUUGACUUGCCAAGAGAUGCAGAUAUAAGUGCAUUGGUGCUGAGGUUUGGUGGGGAAUGUGAGCUUGUCUGGCUGAAUGAUAAAAAUGCAUUGGCCGUGUUCAGCGAUCCUGCCAGAGCCUCAGCUGCUAUGAGGAGAUUAGAUCAAGGUUCUGCUUAUUAUGGUGCUGUUGGAGUUCCUCAGAUUGGUGCUGCCCCAGCAACAUCUAAUGCUUGGGGAGGGUCUAGUGUGAACAAGGAUGCUGGUGGAGGUCCAAUGCUGAAGGAUAACGCAUGGAAGCAGGCCGUAGUCCAGGAGCUAAACCAGAGGGAAACUACAUGGGGCUCCGAAGAGUGGACCAAUAGUUCUUCUUCCAACAUGGAACCCCCCGGAGUUUGGAAGGGGAAAGAAGCCCCUGCGCUUGCUGCUUCAAGCAACAGGUGGAGCGUUCUAGACACCGAAACCGCUCCAAGUUCAUCUGCUACAACAUCUAGCACGGUGAAGGGCUCUUUGAAGAAGUCUGCACCUAAUCAAGUGUCUGAUAGUGAAACCGAAGCACAGAGUUCAGAUUUGCAGGGGCAACCACAGCAUGAAGGCAAUGCUGCUGAUGUGGUAGAUAAUUGGGAGGAGGCUUGUGAUUGAGAAGAAUUUUAUCUUUUGGCCAUCACGAUGAAGACAACUGCACCUCUCAUCUAUUUCUGCAUUAUGCUUCCUCCUUUACAGAUCAUCCAUCCUUAAUAUUCUAAUUGCUGUUUUUGAUACUAAGUUUUUGUCAAGGUCUCCUUGUUCCUUUGAGGAGGAGGAUACUUGUAAAUUCAGCCAUAUAUAGGCUUCCAAUAAUAUUUUACAGCCCAUGGAAGUCGGUUUUCAUUUUGAAGGUUGCACUAGAGGUCAAGGAAAAUUGGGCUAAUGAAUUAACUUGACCACUGGUAUCUACCACUGCAGUUCUGGGUUGGUCAAGUCUGCAUCCCCUUUCUCAAUAAUAUACUAAUAUUGUUGGUUUUUCUUCA